rnacentral:tRNA from 1 species
AAGAAAGUGGCAGAGUGGUUAAGUAGUUGGCUUGAAACCAGCUUACGGGGGUUCGAUUCCCUCCUUUCUCG